GAUGAACGCUGGCGGCGUGCCUAAUACAUGCAAGUCGAGCGAAUGAUGAGGAGCUUGCUCCUCUGAUUUAGCGGCGGACGGGUGAGUAACACGUGGGUAACCUGCCUGUAAGAUGGGGAUAACUCCGGGAAACCGGGGCUAAUACCGAAUAAUAAAAGAGGAAGCAUUUCUUCUUUUUGAAAGUUGGUUUCGGCUAACACUUACAGAUGGGCCCGCGGCGCAUUAGCUAGUUGGUGAGGUAACGGCUCACCAAGGCGACGAUGCGUAGCCGACCUGAGAGGGUGAUCGGCCACACUGGGACGGGGACACGGCCCAGACUCCUACGGGAGGCAGCAGUAGGGAAUCUUCGGCAAUGGGCGAAAGCCUGACCGAGCAACGCCGCGUGAGCGAGGAAGGCCUUCGGGUUGUAAAGCUCUGUUGUCAGGGGAGAACAAGUACGAGAGUAACUGCUCGUACCUUGACGGUACCUGACCAGAAAGCCACGGCUAACUACGUGCCAGCCGCCGCCGUAA
rnacentral:rRNA from 1 species